UACGUAGGGUGCAAGCGUUGUCCGGAAUUAUUGGGCGUAAAGAGCUCGUAGGCGGUUAGUCGCGUCUGCUGUGAAAACUCGAGGCUCAACCUCGAGACGCCGAUGGAAACCAUCUGACUAGAGUCCGGAAGAGGAGAGUGGAAUUCCUGGUGUAGCGGUGAAAUGCGCAGAUAUCAGGAAGAACACCCGUGGCUAAGGCGGCUCUCUAGUACGGUACUGACGCUGAGACGCGAAAGCGUGGGGAGCGAACAGG
rnacentral:rRNA from 1 species